ACUCAAAUGAAUUGACGGGGGCCCGCACAAGCGGUGGAGCAUGUGGUUCAAUUCGAAGCAACGCGCAGAACCUUACCAGCCCUUGACAUCCCGGUCGCGGAGAGCAGAGACGCACUCCUUCAGUUCGGCUGGACCGGAGACAGGUGCUGCAUGGCUGUCGUCAGCUCGUGUCGUGAGAUGUUGGGUUAAGUCCCGCAACGAGCGCAACCCUCGCCCUUAGUUGCCAUCAUUCAGUUGGGCACUCUAAGGGGACUGCCGGUGAUAAGCCGGAGGAAGGUGGGGAUGACGUCAAGUCCUCAUGGCCCUUACGGGCUGGGCUACACACGUGCUACAAUGGCGGUGACAGAGGGAUGCAAAGGGGCGACCCUUCGCAAAUCUCAAAAAGCCGUCUCAGUUCGGAUUGGGGUCUGCAACUCGACCCCAUGAAGUUGGAAUCGCUAGUAAUCGCAGAUCAGCACGCUGCGGUGAAUACGUUCCCGGGCCUUGUACACACCGCCCGU
rnacentral:rRNA from 1 species